UACGAAGGGGGCUAGCGUUGUUCGGAAUCACUGGGCGUAAAGGGCGCGUAGGCGGCUGUUCAAGUCGGGGGGGAAAUCCUGUGGCUCAACCACAGAAUGGCCUUCGAUACUGGACGGCUAGAGACCGGAAGAGGUGAGUGGAACUGCGAGUGUAGAGGUGAAAUUCGUAGAUAUUCGCAAGAACACCAGUGGCGAAGGCGGCUCACUGGUCCGGUUCUGACGCUGAGGCGCGAAAGCGUGGGGAGCAAACAGG
rnacentral:rRNA from 1 species